rnacentral:rRNA from 1 species
CUCCUACGGGAGGCAGCAGUGGGGAAUAUUGCACAAUGGGGGAAACCCUGAUGCAGCGACGCCGCGUGGAGGAAGAAGGUCUUCGGAUUGUAAACUCCUGUUGUUGAGGAAGAUAAUGGCGGUACUCAACAAGGAAGUGACGGCUAACUACGUGCCAGCAGCCGCGGUAAAACGUAGGUCACAAGCGUUGUCCGGAAUUACUGGGUGUAAAGGGAGCGCAGGCGGGCGAUCAAGUUGGAAGUGAAAUCCAUGGGCUCAACCCAUGAACUGCUUUCAAAACUGGUCGUCUUGAGUAGUGCAGAGGUAGGCGGAAUUCCUAGUGUAGCAGUGAAAUGCGUAGAUAUUAGGAGGAACACCAGUGGCGAAGGCAGAUUGCUGGACGAUAACUGACGGUGAGGCGCGAAAGUGUGGGGAGCAAACAGGAUUAGAUACCCUGGUAGUCCACACUGUAAACGAUGAAUACUAGGUGUGCGGGGACUGACCCCCUGCGUGCCGCAGUAAACACAAUAAGUAUUCCACCUGGGGAGUACGAUCGCAAGGUUGAAACUCAAAGGAAUUGACGGGGGCCCGCACAAGCGGUGGAUUAUGUGGUUUAAUUCGAAGCAACGCGAAGAACCUUACCAGGGUUUGACAUCCUGCUAACGAAGUAGAGAUACAUUAGGUGCCCUUCGGGGAAAGCAGAGACAGGUGGUGCAUGGUUGUCGUCAGCUCGUGUCGUGAGAUGUUGGGUUAAGUCCCGCAACGAGCGCAACCCCUAUUGUUAGUUGCUACGCAAGAGCACUCUAGCGAGACUGCCGUUGACAAAACGGAGGAAGGUGGGGACGACGUCAAAUCAUCAUGCCCCUUAUAUCCUGGGCUACACACGUAAUACAAUGGCGGUCAACAGAGGGAAGCAAAGCCGCGAGGCAGAGCAAACCCCCAAAAGCCGUCCCAGUUCGGAUUGUAGGCUGCAACUCGCCUGCAUGAAGUCGGAAUCGCUAGUAAUCGCGGAUCAGCAUACCGCGGUGAAUACGUUCCCGGGCCUUGUACACACCGC